AUUGAACGCUGGCGGAAUGCUUUACACAUGCAAGUCGAACGGCAGCACGGGGGCAGCCCUGGUGGCGAGUGGCGAACGGGUGAGUAAUACAUCGGAACGUGCCCGGUCGUGGGGGAUAACGUAGCGAAAGUUACGCUAAUACCGCAUACGAUCUGAGGAUGAAAGCGGGGGACCUUCGGGCCUCGCGCGAUCGGAGCGGCCGAUGUCAGAUUAGGUAGUUGGUGGGGUAAAGGCCUACCAAGCCGACGAUCUGUAGCUGGUCUGAGAGGACGACCAGCCACACUGGGACUGAGACACGGCCCAGACUCCUACGGGAGGCAGCAGUGGGGAAUUUUGGACAAUGGGCGCAAACCUGAUCCAGCCAUUCCGCGUGCAGGACGAAGGCCUUCGGGUUGUAAACUGCUUUUGUGCGGAACGAAAAGGCUCUGGCUAAUACCUGGGGCUCAUGACGGUACCGUAAGAAUAAGCACCGGCUAACUACGUG
rnacentral:rRNA from 1 species